AAUAAUUCAAAAAUAGAAAGGCUAUGUUUGUCCAAUGGACACGCAAAGGUUAACCGAUCGAACUUCAUUUCCCUCAGACGAAAAACCACGAAGACGACGGAGAAACGCUAAAGAUCAAUCAAGCCAUUAACUCGACGAAAUCUCUCGAACGAGAAAAUGAUGGAGGAAGCUAAAGAUCAGUCAAGUCAUUAACUCGAAAAAACCUCUCAGAGUAGGGUAAAAUUGCAAGUGAAUAUCAGGGAAAACUAAAGUUUGUCGGAAUCGUCAGUUCCCUCAUCUUCUAAUGUUUGGUUGGUUUGCAACAAAUUGAAGGAGAAAUUAGCAAUAGCAAGGUUUAUAAGUUGCUUAUAUAUUUGCUAAACAUUUCUAUGCACCAACAUUCGUGAAUAGUUGAUGAGCAUAAAUUGGAAUGUCUCUUUGUGUGCUGGAAUACUAUGAAGCAGUCGGCUGAAGACGCAAUCCUAUUAUGUAAACUUUGCUCAGGGUUUCAGGUUUUGCAUUUCGGGCACAGUCUAGCAUAGAGUGCAGGUCAUGAUGUGAUUAAUAAGUGUGCGAGAGUUUUAGGGCACUUUCUUUCAUUUAGUAGGGUCGAAGGAGAGCCAUGGAGGCUGGAUUUAGUUAGGGAUUGGAAAAAUUGAGGGGUGUCGAUGACCAUCCUUAGCCAAGGCGUAUCUCUGUACCUGACAGGGGCAAUGGAAAAUGAAUGGACAAUAUGUUUGCAUGCUUCCUUUUCUAGCAGUUAAGAGUAAUAGUCGGCAUUAAGGAAAAAGAAAGAGAUUAAUUUUUAUUGUUUUUACGUUUGUUUGCUUCAUUUUUUUUCUUUUGUUUGCGUGAUACUGGAGUUACUGUUAUGUUGUGACUCUUGGUAUAGUUGGAAUCACUCUUUGGUUAGAUAAGGAGAAUCCAAGUGUAUUGAAAUUUACCACAUCAUAAUUAUUUCACUUAUUCAUGAUCA